GGUUCAUUUGAUCGUACAGUUUACUUGGAUAACUGUGGUAAUUCUAGAGCUAAUACAUGCGAGAAGCGCCGACCUCGCGGGAGGCGUGCAUUUAUCAGACCAAAAACCGGCCGCGUCUUCGGGCGCGUUCGCCUUGGUGACUCUGGAUAACUUUGCGGAUCGCACGGUCUAGCACCGGCGACGGAUCAUUCAAGUGUCUGCCCUAUCAACUUUCGUCGGUACGGUAUUUGCCUACCGAGGUUCUUACGGGUGACGGGGAAUCAGGGUUCGAUUCCGGAGAGGGAGCCUGAGAAACGGCUACCACAUCCAAGGAAGGCAGCAGGCGCGCAAAUUACCCAUUCCCGACGCGGGGAGGUAGUGACGAAAAAUAACAAUGCAGGACUCGUUCGAGGCCCUGUAAUUGGAAUGAGUACACUUUAAAAGCUUUAACGAGUAUCCAUUGGAGGGCAAGUCUGGUGCCAGCAGCCGCGGUAAUUCCAGCUCCAAAAGUAUAUAUUUAAGUUGUUGCGGUUAAAAGCUCGUAGUUGGAUUUUCGGCGCAGGCGGCCGGUCCGUCGCAAGGCGUGUACUGGACGUCCUGGCCUUCCCUCCGGUUCUCCGCCGGUGCUCUUGACUGAGUGUCGGCGGCGGCCGGAACGUUUACUUUGAAAAAAUUAGAGUGUUCAAAGCAGGCUCUCGAGCCUGGAUAAUGGUGCAUGGAAUAAUGGAAUAGGACCUCGGUUCUAUUUUGUUGGUUUUCGGAGCGCGAGGUAAUGAUUAAGAGGGACAGACGGGGGCAUUCGUACUGUGCCGUUAGAGGUGAAAUUCUUGGAUCGGCGCAAGACGAACGACUGCGAAAGCAUUUGCCAAGAAUGUUUUCUUUAAUCAAGAGCGAAAGUCAGAGGUUCGAAGACGAUCAGAUACCGUCCUAGUUCUGACUAUAAACGAUGCCAACUAGCGAUCGGGGGGCGUUACAUUGACGACCCCUCCGGCAGCUUACGGGAAACCAAAGUCUUUGGGUUCCGGGGGAAGUAUGGUUGCAAAGCUGAAACUUAAAGGAAUUGACGGAAGGGCACCCCCAGGAGGG
rnacentral:ncRNA from 1 species